UGUGCAUAAUCAUUCACUCCAACAACUGAGUCUAACUGAGAGAAAGGUAUAAAUAAUAUGUGACAUAUGCUAAUAGCUGCAAAAGAGGAAUUAAAGGGUCCUGUGAGAGCAUUCGGGAAAAACAACAUACAUAAUCUUUAUGUCAUGGAUGACCUCCAUGAGGAUGGGAAUUUUCAGAAUGAAGGGUAAUUGGGUGUUAAGCAGCACAAUAUGUCAUGAAGAAUUGCAUGUCAUAACAUUUUGAGGUGAUCUCUCAUGAAUAAAGAAUGGAGGCAAGACUGCGAAGACCUGCAAUGUGAUGGCCAAUGAGGACUCAGCUGGGAUUCCUGCAAGGUCAUCUUGAACUGAGGCAGGACCUUGGGCUCUUGGCAUCGGGCAGACAUGAGAUCUGAAUCACACAGAGAGGAACAUAAACUUGGGGGAUGCAAUUAUUUGCUGAUAAAGGUGAGGGUGGCUCUCUGUCCCAAGGCCACGGACACCUCAGAUGGCUGAGUCACUGCAGAAGAGACAACAGGACCUGCAAGAGAGGAGAGCAGAGGUGAAGGCAAUUAACAAGCACAAACAUUCCACGGAGGAGGACACAGAAAUCGCAAAGAGCACAAGAAAGGUCGUUCCUCAUUAACCAUGAGGGAAAUGCACAUGAAAACCACAAGCACAUCUCCCUACGUACUUAUCAGAUUGGCUGCAAUAAAAUUAGUGACAAACCUAAUUGUUGGCGAGGAUGUGGGGAUACUGUAUCACUCAUGUCCCAUGAGGGGAAUGUGAAAUGCUGCAGCAACCCUGGAAAAGGGUAUGAGAGAUUCUUUAAAAAAGUGAACUUAUGGUUACCAUGGAACCCAGCAAAUGACUCUUGGGCAUUUAUUUCAAAAUGAAAAUAUGUUCAUAGAGAAACUAUGCACAAAUGUUCAUACACCCUUAUGUAUACUACCUCAAGGUAAGAACAAUCCAGGUGUCCUUCAUUGGGUGGAUUGGUAAACAGACUUUGGUAUACUGGGAUCAUGGAAUAGUACUCAGUGAUGAAAAGGAAUGAAAUCUUAAUGCACACAAGGAUGUUGAUGAAUGUACAGUGUCUUAUGCAGAGUGAAAAAUGCCAAUCCCAAAGGCUAUGCACAAUAGAAAUCUAUUUUUUAUUUCUAUUAAUCAUUCUUGAAAAGACAAAAUUUUAGAAAUGGAGAAUCAGUUAGUGGAUGGCAAAGGUUAGGGGCAGUGCAGGGCACGUAGGAGGGAGGAAGUGAAUGUUGUUAUAAAAUGACAACAUGAGGGCUCCCUGUGGAGAUGGAACCGUUUUGUCUCUUAACUGUGGUGUGGACCUAUGAACCUACACAGGGGAUAAAAUCACAUCAAUCUACCUACACACACAAACACACACACACGACUGAGUAAAAGUCACCGGGGGAAUCUGAAUUUGAAAAUGGACAAGUAUUUGUUCAAAAUCUUCACUAAACAAAACACACAGAUGACAAUAAGCACCUGAAAGAUGCUAAAGGUUUCCAGUCACUAAAGAAAUGAAAACUGUAAAUAUGAUGGGAUAUCACUACAGAUAUAUUAAAAAGGUUUAAACAAAAACUGAGAAGCUACUGUUAAUGAGAAUGCGGAACAAACGGAAGUCUCGUAAACGCUUGGUUAUAAUGAAAACGCAAAGCCAGCAUCGACGUUGGAAAACAAUUUGUUCAUUUCUGAGAAAGUUCGACAUAUAUCUACCAUAUGAGCCAGAAAUUCCAUUCCUAUGUAUUUAUUCAAGUGACAUGAAAACUCAUGUCCACAAAAAACCCAAAACAAGGUCCUAAAGCUUUUAUUUGAAAUUACCAGAGUGGAACAUGGAAAUAUGCCAAGUGUCACUUCACUGGGAAAUUGAAACACAAACUGUAGUUCAUCUGUGCAAGGGAAUUCUACUCACAGUGAAAACGGAAUGAACUAUUAACAUGCAAGAAUGUAGAAGCAUCCCAAAUGGAUUAUGCCUAGUGAAAGAAGCCUGAAUGAAACCACUACCAGAAUGAAACAUAAUAUUUAUAUGAAGUUCUUGCAAAGAUCGAACUAUGGUGACAGACAUCAGAUCUGGAGUUGUGAGUUGGACAUGGCAGGAGAGUGUGACUGCCAAGAGGUCUUGGAAUCUGUGGGUAAUGAUUGAACUGUUACACAUCAUGGUUGUGGAAGUGCUUACACCUCUGUAUGCAUUUGUCAAAACUCACACAACUGUUCACUAAAAGUACUGGAUCUUGGAAGAUGUAAAUUAUGUAAUUUUGUAAAUUAUGUCAUUAUGUAAAUUAUGUAAUUAUGACAUAAUAAAAGAAAAAAAGUUGUCGUAGGUGAAGGUUUCCAAGAGCCAACUCUCACAUAGACUAGUUUGCAAGAGGUCUAGAUGAAACAGAGAACACACCCUGAGGACAGGAAGGAAGCAGAUUUGGGCAGAUAUGGAUGUUGAGGUCUGACACAACAGGGCCCACAGUACAAAUAAUGGGGCUCUGGUGCUGGGGGUGCCCUUCGGAUCCCGCUGAAUGGCCGGCAGCCCUGCCUCCAUCCCACCACACUCACAGGUCACUAGAUGUAGCCUGUUACCAAGAACUGGAAUGUCCCCACUGUGCCAGGUCUCUUCAGCAGAAGCAAGUCCUGGAGCUGCAGUUGCUGACACCCCAGCCUCUGGGGAAUGAGGUCUCCAUCCUGCAGGGGA